rnacentral:lncRNA from 1 species
UUUACCACUGAACCAUCUCUAGCCAGUUUUCUUUCUUCCUUUUUUUUUUUUUUUAUAAACACAGGGUUUCUCUGUGUAGCCGUGGCUGUUCGAGAACUCCCUCUGACCAGGCGGUGGUGGUGAUAACUUGUCUUCAAAUUUUGAAGUUAAAAGUUGUGUGCCACCAUACCUGGUUUUGUUUGUUUUUUUUUUUUUUUCAAGACAGGGUUUCUCUGUAUAGCCCUGGCUGUCCUGGAACUCACUUUGUAGACCAGGCUGGCCUCAAACUCAGAAAUCUGCCUGCCUCUGCCUCCCGAGUGCUGGGAUUAAAGGUGUGCGCCACCACGCCCGGCUAAAUAAUUCUUUAGAGAACAAAAUUAAAUGCAUUUACACUAAAAAAAUGUAAUGAAGGGCUGGGCAUGGUGGCAUAUGACUUUAAUCCCAAGCACUGAAAGGUGGACCUCUGAGUUUGAGACCAGCCUGGUCUAGGUAGUAAGUUCCAAGACCCAGAGCUAUACAGAACCUGCCUCAAAAAACAAAACAAAGUAUGGCCAAAAGCUAUGAACCUCAUACUUUGGCCUCUCUAACAUAUCCGAAAAAAGAACCACAAUUCCACAGAUUCCGUUUGCAAAAGUCAAGGUGUGUUUCAUCUUGCAUUAUAGGGCCAUGUCUAACAGUUGUCAUUAGAUGACUACCAUUUACAGAAUAGUUAUGUGAGCUCAAAUAACCUUUAUGUCAGUAGGCAGCACAAUCCUAGUGGAUUGUCACACUUUUAUAUGCAGGCCACGGUGUCUGAAACAUCUUGUGACAUAGGAUGGUACUUGGAUUUUAAAUUCUUUUCAAGGCAUGUGUGUUGUGUUGUAUGAACAUGCGUAGAUCAGAGAAAGGAUCAGAUGUCCUCUUAUUACUCUUUCUAUCUCUCUUUUUUAAAAUAUUUUUAUCUACUUUUUAAUUUGAGACAGGGUUUCUAUGUGUUGCCCUGGAACUCUUUGUCUAGACCAGACUGGCCUCAAACUCAGAUUAGCCUGCCUCUGCCUCCACCUCCCAAGAACUGGGAUUAAAGGUGUGAGCCACCAUGUCUGACUACUUUUUUCUCUUUGAGGUAGUGUCUCUCCCCCAUUAGCUUAAAACUUGUUUUUGUUUUGUUUUGUUGUUUUUUUUUUUCAACCACCAAAACCUAGCUCUUUGAUACUUUUUUUUUUUAAGGUUUAUUUAUUUUAUGUAUGUGAGUACAGUGUUGCUAUCUUCUAACAUACCGGAAGAGGGCAUCGGAUCCCAUUACAGAUGGUUAUGAGCCACCCAUGUGGUUGCUGGGAAUUGAACUCAAGACCUCUGGAAGAGCAGUCAGUGCUCUUAACCACUUUCCUACUUUCUAUACUUACCUGCUGUGCUCUGGUUAUGGGCACAGUUAAGACUGUAGCCAGCUUGCUGUGUGUGUGUGCUGGAAUUCAAAUUCAGGUCCUCUUGGUUGCCAAGCAAACACUUUCCUACUGAGCUGUCUACUCAGCCACUAUAUUUGGGUUUUAGGAUUGCAUACGUAGAUUGGCUGGAAGUUUUGUUUGCUUUAGUAAGUUUUCAAAAUUGUCCUUCCUCUGAGGAGUGGUUCCUCCAAGAUAAUGUUCUCUGGUUAGUUAUAAGAGUUGUAUUAUCCUUUGAGUUCCUGUCUAUAUUAAGAUUUUCCUAACCAGGAUUUUCUGACUAAUUAGCACAAUGCAAUACAUGUUCAUU